rnacentral:rRNA from 1 species
GACGAACGCUGGCGGCGUGCUUAACACAUGCCAGUCGAACGGAAAGGCCCUGCUUUUGUGGGGUGCUCGAGUGGCGAACGGGUGAGUAACACGUGAGUAACCUGCCCUUGACUUUGGGAUAACUUCAGGAAACUGGGGCUAAUACCGGAUAGGAGCUCCUGCUGCAUGGUGGGGGUUGGAAAGUUUCGGCGGUUGGGGAUGGACUCGCGGCUUAUCAGCUUGUUGGUGGGGUAGUGGCUUACCAAGGCUUUGACGGGUAGCCGGCCUGAGAGGGUGACCGGCCACAUUGGGACUGAGAUACGGCCCAGACGCCUACGGGAGGCAGCAGUGGGGAAUAUUGCACAAUGGGCGGAAGCCUGAUGCAGCAACGCCGCGUGCGGGAUGACGGCCUUCGGGGUGUAAACCGCUUUCGCCUGUGACGAAGCGUGAGUGACGGUAAUGGGUAAAGAAGCACCGGCUAACUACGUG